rnacentral:rRNA from 1 species
ACGGGGGGUGCUAGCGUUGUUCGGAAUCAUUGGGCGUAAAGAGCGUGUAGGCGGCUGGAUAAGUCAGAUGUGAAAGCCCUGGGCUUAACCCAGGAAGUGCAUUUGAAACUGUUCAGCUUGAGUAAGGGAGAGGAAAGUGGAAUUCCUGGUGUAGAGGUGAAAUGCGUAGAGAUCAGGAGGAACACCGGUGGCGAAGGCGGCGCACUGGACGUAUACUGACGCUUAGGCGCGAGAGCGUGGGUAGCAAACAG